rnacentral:rRNA from 1 species
AUUGAACGCUGGCGGCAGGCUUAACACAUGCAAGUCGAGCGGAGAUGAGGUGCUUGCACCUUAUCUUAGCGGCGGACGGGUGAGUAAUGCUUAGGAAUCUGCCUAUUAGUGGGGGACAACAUUCCGAAAGGAAUGCUAAUACCGCAUACGCCCUACGGGGGAAAGCAGGGGAUCUUCGGACCUUGCGCUAAUAGAUGAGCCUAAGUCGGAUUAGCUAGUUGGUGGGGUAACGGCCUACCAAGGCGACGAUCUGUAGCGGGUCUGAGAGGAUGAUCCGCCACACUGGGACUGAGACACGGCCCAGACUCCUACGGGAGGCAGCAGUGGGGAAUAUUGGACAAUGGGCGGAAGCCUGAUCCAGCCAUGCCGCGUGUGUGAAGAAGGCCUUUUGGUUGUAAAGCACUUUAAGCGAGGAGGAGGCUACUUAGAUUAAUACUCUAGGAUAGUGGACGUUACUCGCAGAAUAAGCACCGGCUAACUCUGUGCCAGCCGCCGCGGUAA